rnacentral:rRNA from 1 species
UACGGGGGGGGCAAGCGUUGUUCGGAAUUACUGGGCGUAAAGCGCGUGUAGGCGGCAGCGUGUGUCGGGCGUGAAAUCCCACGGCUCAACCGUGGAAGUGCACUCGAAACUGCGCAGCUAGAGUCCUGGAGAGGAAGGUGGAAUGCUUGGUGUAGAGGUGAAAUUCGUAGAUAUCAAGCGGAACACCGGUGGCGAAGGCGGCCUUCUGGACAGUGACUGACGCUGAGACGCGAAAGCGUGGGGAGCAAACAGG